rnacentral:rRNA from 1 species
GAUGAACGCUAGCGGCAGGCUUAACACAUGCAAGUCGAGGGGCAGCGCGGGAUAGCAAUAUCCUGGCGGCGACCGGCGGAAGGGUGCGUAACGCGUGAGCGACAUGCCCGUUGCCCGGGGACAACCGGUGGAAACGCCGACUAAUCCCCGAUGGGAUACGAUGCUUCAUGGCAUUGUAUUGAAAGUUACGGCGGCGACGGAUUGGCUCGCGUCCGAUUAGCUGGUUGGCGGGGUAACGGCCCACCAAGGCUGCGAUCGGUAGGGGGUCUGAGAGGAAGGCCCCCCACAGAGGGACUGAGACACGGCCCAUACUCCGACGGGAGGCAGCAGUGAGGAAGAUUGGUCAAGGGGCGGAAGCCGGAACCAGCCAGGCCGCGUGCGGGAAGGAGGCCCUAUGGGCUGUGAACCGCUUUUGCCUGGGGGCAAUAAGGGCGUCGCGCACGUCCGAUGAGAGUACCAGGCGAAUAAGCAUCGGCUAACUCCGUG